AACCUCUGAGGAUGGAGACUUCACCACCUCUCUGGGAAUAAAAACUGCCUAAGAAGCACUGAGAGGUGUCUUUCAUCCCCAGCUCUCUCAAACCCCUGCAAAUCCCUCAAGCCAAAACUGCUGCCUGUUAAUGCUGAUGCUACAUCUGGACUUGCGAAGCAGUGGAGAGUACCGGGCUCUGUACAAUACACUUCUGUGCUUGUUAAAGUUUUCAUGGAAAAGCUUUGGGCACGGCGUGAUCCCAUCUCACAAGAAUGAAAGAUGAGAAACUAUCAUGAGUCAUAUCAAUCGUGCAGAGACCCAGCUCUGGCAUGGGAAAGCCGAGCCUGACGACUGCAGUGGCUGGGCCGUGUCAAAAGGAUGGGAGCGAUCCAGACACCAAGGGCAGCUGUUCCCGGGGUGCCGGAGGGACGACCAAGGCGAAGAUGGGAGAGGAUGUGGUAUCAGAGCCGCAGAAAUUAAAUGUGAACAAUGGGAGGAUGAAGAUAGUGAGAGCUGCUAAGAGCUUCUAGUGCUACAUUAGUAGUAGUAGUAGUGGUAAUUGUUAGUGGUAUUAAAAUACUAGCUAAGUGUUAAAAUAUUAAACAUUAAACUACUAAUAUUAAGCACUAAAGUAUUAAAGUACUAGUAUUUAAAUACUAGCUAAGCAGGUAUUUAUGCAUUUUCCUGGAUUAAGGCUUUUUAAGCACACAGCUACGUUUAGACUCUGAAGUAGACACAUAGGUAAGUACUUUGCAGAAUCGGCUCCUUAUGGCCCCAGAUUAAGAUUUAAUUGCUGGCACUUCCUUUAUUGGGGUACAUUAUCUUGUGCUACUAUAUUAAGGUGUAAUUACAUCAUCAUCAUCAUUACUAUUAUUAUUAUUAUUAUAUACUUAACAAUUAUAAUGA